AAAAUAAGAUUAUUCCUAGACUAUCUGCUGCAAAGAAAUCAGAGAGGAUAGAUUUUCUAUGAAGAGAUCCAGCUAUUACAGGACAUAACCCAUGCAUUUCUUUCAUCCUCUUCACUUACCCACUAAGCCUCUUCAUGUUCUGAUGUGGAAGCCCUGAUUAUCCAUUCAUUUCCCAUCCAAAAAAAGCUGGAGGGCUCCUAAGGUAUAUGGAGCUGAGAUAUACAUCAUCCCCAUCAGGCGCAAUCCACCUGAUUUUCUCUGAUUCCAUGAAGAUUAAACUCUGACUGCCUUCCACUGGGGCCUUGUGAAAAUGAAGUAAUUUCAGAGAAUGAAUCUUUUAAAUAAACCUGUGUUGCCAGAAGGACUUUAGAAGGUAAAGAGAUAAUUGUUAAUAUCAAUCCUUAAUUGGUACUGGAUAUCCAGUAACUUAUUUAGGAUGCUCAAGUAAUAAUUGAGAAUGUUUUAUAUAACAUUGCCACUACUUUUUUAUGUCACAUUUCCUGAUGAAAUAUUUAAAAAAAUCUUCUAGUUC